rnacentral:rRNA from 1 species
GACGAACGCUGGCGGCGCGCUUAACACAUGCAAGUCGAACGGAAAGGCCUGCUUUCCCUUGUGGAUUGCGGGUACUCGAGUGGCGAACGGGUGAGUAACACGUGAGUGAUCUGCCCCCAACUUGGGUAUAAGCCUGGGAAACUGGGUCUAAUUCCCGAUAGGACUGCAGGGUGGUGCCUGUGGUGGAAAACGAUUUUCUAGUGGUUGGGGAUGAGCUCGCGGCCUAUCAGCUUGUUGGUGGGGUAAUGGCCUACCAAGGCGGCGACGGGUAGCCGGCCUGAGAGGGUGGACGGCCACAUUGGGACUGAGAUACGGCCCAGACUCCUACGGGAGGCAGCAGUGGGGAAUAGUGCACAAUGGGCGGAAGCCUGAUGCAGCGACGCCGCGUGGGGAUGACGGCCUUCGGGUUGUAAACUCCUUUCGACCGCGAGGAAGCCACCUGGUUGGAAGGGUGGUGACGGUAGUGGUAGAAGAAGCACCGGCUAACUACGUG